UAGCUGAGAUCUGCUGGGCUUCUCGGGGUUUGGUAUCUUGUAUUUACUAAAUGAGGUUCAUCUUUCCCAGAUGCAAAAUUAAAGCUCUACAAUGACUCCAUGUCCAAGGAACCCAAGAGCCUAUUUUCUUAUCAUCCUGGCAUCCAUAAUAGUCUUCUCCUCCUUGACCUGACUAUCCUGUCAGAGUCCACAGGUGAUCUACCUUGAACAUAUCAUCCCACAGGUCAUGUUUCAACAGACCUGGUGACCUUGGAAGCUGAUCCUCUGGUACCUCUUCCACGACUUGCAAAGAGUUGCUUGGCAGGCUUCCUCUGGGAACUGAAGAUAAAUGCAACCAACUCAUUGUUCCGAGAUUGUGGUUUUAGGAUGUUGGGUCAAAGUUGUGGAGUCUGGGGAUUUGGGUAGUGUGAAGCAAGAGCUUUAGUCCCAGUCUGUUGCCAUUACCUCAGAUUAUGUGCUGCCAGUGGUCACGUGGUAGGUCUCAUGGCGGAAUCUCCCAGCCUUUGUUGGUUGGGGGCUUCUUGGAAGGUAUAUCACUUCUGGGACCCCUUGGGCUCAGAGAGUCUGUUGAAGCUGGCAGCCAGUUGCAUCCCAAGUUUCUGAGGAUCGGUUACAGAGUGUUCCUGGGUAUGCCUUCAUUUUGGAGGGCUUUCUCAUAAUGCUCAGUCCUAAGACAGGCCGUUCACUGGGGAGAACUUGGCAGGACGGGAUGUAAAUAUUUGCCUCUGUCACAUUGCUGGAGUCCAGCUUCUUCUGUCCAGGGUUGGGGUUUUGGAGGAGGACUCUUAGGACAACAAAAGCAAUAAAAUUACUAAUGAAAUAA